GCCUUUGUGUCUGCGCUUUGAGAGUGCGUAUAUUUGUGUGCGCGCGAGUGCGUUUUGUGUGCGUGCGUAUGUAUUGCAUAAGGCCGGUAGAGUUUUACUCGCAAUAAAACUCUUCCAAUUUGGUGCAGCGAGUGUUGCCGCCUGAAAGCCGAGUUUGGUUUCAAGCCAACCUGGACAACUGCUGUAUGAGGCGCUGUUUCUCAGGAGGAUCAGUGGGAAGGCGUCAGGUCAUGCAGAUGAUAGCAUCAAUUUCACAAUGCCCAGCCUUGGUGCCUUCCAUUAAGAGCAAGCCACUUGCGUUCGCCUUCAGGCAGAUGGUUGAUGUCUUCUAGGAAGCAGUUGGGAAGACUACAUUGAUGCAAGAUUCCAGCAAUGCCAUGCGCUGCAUUUAUUGGUCAAGAUGCUCAGAGAAUGGAGUCCCUGCACCUCGUGGUGAAACGUGAACAUUUUCU
rnacentral:lncRNA from 1 species